AUUGAACGCUGGCGGCAGGCCUAACACAUGCAAGUCGAGCGGAUGAAGGGAGCUUGCUCCUGGAUUCAGCGGCGGACGGGUGAGUAAUGCCUAGGAAUCUGCCUGGUAGUGGGGGAUAACGUCCGGAAACGGGCGCUAAUACCGCAUACGUCCUGAGGGAGAAAGUGGGGGAUCUUCGGACCUCACGCUAUCAGAUGAGCCUAGGUCGGAUUAGCUAGUUGGUGGGAUAAAGGCCUACCAAGGCGACGAUCCGUAACUGGUCUGAGAGGAUGAUCAGUCACACUGGAACUGAGACACGGUCCAGACUCCUACGGGAGGCAGCAGUGGGGAAUAUUGGACAAUGGGCGAAAGCCUGAUCCAGCCAUGCCGCGUGUGUGAAGAAGGUCCUCGGAUUGUAAAGCACUUUAAGUUGGGAGGAAGGGCAGUAAGUUAAUACCUUGCUGUUUUGACGUUACCAACAGAAUAAGCACCGGCUAACUUCGUG
rnacentral:rRNA from 1 species